CUCGCCUCCGUGUCUUUAAUAAAAUCAUGACUUUCCGUCAUGAUAAUUGUAAUAUCCUCGAAUUUUAUUAAAGACCCGGAGGCUCCUAUUAUGCUAUUUUAAAGCUGUGAGAUCACGGCUUCUGCAAAAUGCUGUAUUGGUUUGAAAUAGAAAUUUCGUCCUCCGUGAGAUGUCAAAGACUACUCCUUCUGGAGAGAAGGAUCGGGCAUUGACAUCGAGUGCUCUAACGUCUGACACUCUCUUGCAAGAGAUUAGGCAUAACAGCAUAACUAGUUUAGCUGAUAGUUGUUUCAACGAUAGCGACUCGUUGUCUGGCC